GAUGAACGCUGGCGGCGUGCCUAAUACAUGCAAGUCGAGCGAACAGACGAGGAGCUUGCUCCUCUGACGUUAGCGGCGGACGGGUGAGUAACACGUGGAUAACCUACCUAUAAGACUGGGAUAACUUCGGGAAACCGGAGCUAAUACCGGAUAAUAUAUUGAACCGCAUGGUUCAAUAGUGAAAGAUGGUUUUGCUGUCUCUUAUAGAUGGAUCCGCGCCGCAUUGGUGAGUUGGUAAGGUAACGGCUUACCAAGGCGACGAUGCGUAGCCGACCUGAGAGGGGGAAGGGCCGCACUGGAACUGAGACGCGGUCCAGACUCCGACGGGAGGCAGCAGUAGGGAAUCUUCCGAGAUGGGCGAAAGCCUGACGGAGCAACGCCGCGUGGGUGAUGAAGGUCUUCGGAUCGUAAAACUCUGUUAUUGGGGAAGAACAAAUGUGUAGGUAACUAUGCACGUCUUGACGGUACCUAAUCAGAAAGCCACGGCUAACUACGUG
rnacentral:rRNA from 1 species